AUAAAGUUUAGCAACAAUGAGAGUAUUUCAAAUAAUAAUCGUAGUGGCUUGCGUUAUUGCUGCCGUCACCUGUAAUCCUGAAAACUUUAUGAGUGGACAAGGUAAUACUGGUAAUAGGCAGUCAUAUAUAGGUGGAACUUUAGGCAAAUAAUCGUUAGAUGUUGAUGACAAUGUCUUAUUGUCAGUUUCACUGACCAUUAAAAAUCUAUUAAAUGUCAUUGCUUAAGCUUAAAAAUUGCAAUAAUUAGAAAAAAAUAUUUUUUUGUUAUGAAUAAAGGAAUUUUAUAAAACAAAA